CAUGCAAGUCGAGCGGAGUUGANGGAAAGCUUGCUUUCCUGAUACUUAGCGGCGGACGGGUGAGUAACACGUAGGCAACCUUGCCCUCAAGCUUGGGACAACUACCGGAAACGGUAGCUAAUACCGAAUACUUGUUUUCUUCGCCUGAAGGNAACUGGAAAGACGGAGCAAUCUGUCACUUGAGGA
rnacentral:rRNA from 1 species